rnacentral:rRNA from 1 species
GACGAACGCUGGCGGCGUGCCUAAUACAUGCAAGUCGAACGCUGAAGGAGGAGCUUGCUUCUCUGGAUGAGUUGCGAACGGGUGAGUAACGCGUAGGUAACCUGCCUGGUAGCGGGGGAUAACUAUUGGAAACGAUAGCUAAUACCGCAUAAGAGUAGAUGUUGCAUGACAUUUGCUUAAAAGGUGCAAUUGCAUCACUACCAGAUGGACCUGCGUUGUAUUAGCUAGUUGGUGGGGUAACGGCUUACCAAGGCGACGAUACAUAGCCGACCUGAGAGGGUGAUCGGCCACACUGGGACUGAGACACGGCCCAGACUCCUACGGGAGGCAGCAGUAGGGAAUCUUCGGCAAUGGACGGAAGUCUGACCGAGCAACGCCGCGGGAGUGAAGAAGGGUUUCGGAUCGUAAAGCUCUGUUGUAAGAGAAGAACGAGUGUGAGAGUGGAAAGUUCACACUGUGACGGUAUCUUACCAGAAAGGGACGGCUAACUACGUG